GCGAAAGUGGCGGAACCGGUAGACGCGCCGGACUUAGGAUCCGGUGGCCUUGGGCCGUGGGGGUUCGAGUCCCCCCUUUCGCA
rnacentral:tRNA from 2 species